GACGAACGCUGGCGGCGUGCCUAAUACAUGCAAGUAGAACGCUGAAGAGAGGAGCUUGCUCUUCUUGGAUGAGUUGCGAACGGGUGAGUAACGCGUAGGUAACCUGCCUUGUAGCGGGGGAUAACUAUUGGAAACGAUAGCUAAUACCGCAUAACAAUGGAUGACACAUGUCAUUUAUUUGAAAGGGGCAAUUUCGCCACUACAAGAUGGACCUGCGUUGUAUUAGCUAGUAGGUGAGGUAACGGCUCACCUAGGCGACGAUACAUAGCCGACCUGAGAGGGUGAUCGGCCACACUGGGACUGAGACACGGCCCAGACUCCUACGGGUGGCAGCAGUAGGGAAUCUUCGGGCAGGGGGGCAACCCUGACCGAGCUACGCCGCGUGAGUGAAGAAGGUUGUCGGAUCGUAAAGCUCUGUUGUAAGUCAAGAACGAGUGUGAGAGUGGAAAGUUCACACUGUGACGGUAGCUUACCAGAAAGGGACGGCUAACUACGUG
rnacentral:rRNA from 1 species